rnacentral:snRNA from 1 species
UUGCUUCAGGCAGCACAUAUGCUAAAAUUGGCAUGAUACGGAGAAGAUUAGCAUGGCCCUGAGCAAGAAUUUAUUUUUAAGUGUUCUGCUAAUAAAAA